GAGUUUCCCCAAUCAGUAGGGUGAGGGGGAAGCCACCGGAGCAGCUGCACUCGUGUUCACCAUCGUUGUCUUUAGAAGCCGACUGGUGCCGCUGUGCGUCGAAUAUCUGCGGGAAUUGGUGAGUCUGUUGUUGUUGUGUUCGCUAGCAUGUUGCUAUUGGCGUUGGUAUCCUUAUGUAUUAUAGUGAAGGGUUCGCUAGCUUAAUGCUAAUAGCAUUAAGCAAUAAUUAGUAAAAGUAAAAUAUAAAUAGUUAUUUUUAUUAAAAUAGUUAUUAUAAAACGGCUAUUUUUCCCAGUCACCUGAACACAUCCUUCAUUCACAUUUUUGUGCAGGAGUCACAUGGUAGUCUCAGUGAAGGCUUUUAACCAAUCAUGGCACUUAAGA
rnacentral:lncRNA from 1 species